UCCAGAGUGGCGUAGUGGUUUGAGUGUUGGACUACAACUCUAGAGAUCAGGGUUUGAUACCCUGCUUGACCAUGGAA
rnacentral:tRNA from 1 species